AGUGGCGGACGGGUGAGUAACACGUAAGAAUUUGCCUUUAGGAGGGGGACAACAACUGGAAACGGCUGCUAAUACCCCAUAUGCUUUCGAGUGAAAUGGAUUUUUCCGCCUAAAGAGAAGCUUGCGGCUGAUUAGCUUGUUGGUGAGGUAAUGGCUCACCAAGGCGACGAUCAGUAUCUGGUUUGAGAGGACGAUCAGACACACUGGAACCGAGACACGGUCCAGACUCCUACGGGAGGCAGCAGUGGGGAAUUUUCCGCAAUGGGCGAAAGCCUGACGGAGCAAUACCGCGUGAGGGAUGACGGCCUAUGGGUUGUAAACCUCUUUUUUCAGGGAGGAAUCAAAUGACGUGUACCUGAAGAAUAAGCAUCGGCUAACUCCGUGCCAGCAGCCGCGGUAAGACGGGGGAUGCAAGUGUUAUCCGGAAUCACUGGGCGUAAAGCGUCUGUAGGUGGUCCAAUAAGUCAACUGUUAAAUCUUGGGGCUCAACCUCAAAAUCGCAGUCGAAACUAUUAGACUAGAGUAUAGUAGGGGUAAAGGGAAUUUCCAGUGGAGCGGUGAAAUGCGUAGAUAUUGGAAAGAACACCGAUGGCGAAAGCACUUUACUGGGCUAUUACUAACACUCAGAGACGAAAGCUAGGGUAGCAAAUGGGAUUAGAUACCCCAGUAGUCCUAGCCGUAAACAAUGGAUACUAGA
rnacentral:rRNA from 1 species